GAUGAACGCUGGCGGCGUGCCUAAUACAUGCAAGUAGAACGCUGAAGGAGGAGCUUGCUCUUCUGGAUGAGUUGCGAACGGGUGAGUAACGCGUAGGUAACCUGCCUGGUAGCGGGGGAUAACUAUUGGAAACGAUAGCUAAUACCGCAUGACAACAGUUAUUGCAUGAUAACUGUUUAAAAGGGGCAACUGCUCCACUACCAGAUGGCCCUGCGUUGUAUUAGCUAGUUGGUGAGGUAACGGCUCACCAAGGCGACGAUACAUAGCCGACCUGAGAGGGGGAUCGGCCAAACUGGGACUGAGACACGGCCCAGACUCCUACGGGAGGCAGCAGGAGGGAAUCUUCGGCAAUGGACGGAAGUCUGAACGAGCAACGCCGCGGGAGGGAAGAAGGGUGUCGGAUCGUAAAGAUCUGUUGUAAGAGAAGAACGAGUGUGAGAGUGGAAAGUUCACACUGUGACGGUAGCUUACCAGAAAGGCACGGCUAACUACGUG
rnacentral:rRNA from 1 species